rnacentral:rRNA from 1 species
AGAGUUUGAUCCUGGCUCAGGAUGAACGCCUUUGGUGUGCCUAAUACAUGCAAGUCGUACGCACUGGCCCAACUGAUUGAUGGUGCUUGCACCUGAUUGACGAUGGAUCACCAGUGAGUGGCGGACGGGUGAGUAACACGUAGGUAACCUGCCUCGGAGCGGGGGAUAACAUUUGGAAACAGAUGCUAAUACCGCAUAACAACAAAAGCCACAUGGCUUUUGUUUGAAAGAUGGCUUUGGCUAUCACUCUGGGAUGGACCUGCGGUGCAUUAGCUAGUUGGUAAGGUAACGGCUUACCAAGGCAAUGAUGCAUAGCCGAGUUGAGAGACUGAUCGGCCACAAUGGAACUGAGACACGGUCCAUACUCCUACGGGAGGCAGCAGUAGGGAAUCUUCCACAAUGGGCGCAAGCCUGAUGGAGCAACACCGCGUGAGUGAAGAAGGGUUUCGGCUCGUAAAGCUCUGUUGUUGGAGAAGAACGUGCGUGAGAGUAACUGUUCACGCAGUGACGGUAUCCAACCAGAAAGUCACGGCUAACUACGUGCCAGCAGCCGCGGUAAUACGUAGGUGGCAAGCGUUAUCCGGAUUUAUUGGGCGUAAAGCGAGCGCAGGCGGUUGCUUAGGUCUGAUGUGAAAGCCUUCGGCUUAACCGAAGAAGUGCAUCGGAAACCGGGCGACUUGAGUGCAGAAGAGGACAGUGGAACUCCAUGUGUAGCGGUGGAAUGCGUAGAUAUAUGGAAGAACACCAGUGGCGAAGGCGGCUGUCUGGUCUGCAACUGACGCUGAGGCUCGAAAGCAUGGGUAGCGAACAGGAUUAGAUACCCUGGUAGUCCAUGCCGUAAACGAUGAGUGCUAGGUGUUGGAGGGUUUCCGCCCUUCAGUGCCGGAGCUAACGCAUUAAGCACUCCGCCUGGGGAGUACGACCGCAAGGUUGAAACUCAAAGGAAUUGACGGGGGCCCGCACAAGCGGUGGAGCAUGUGGUUUAAUUCGAAGCUACGCGAAGAACCUUACCAGGUCUUGACAUCUUGCGCUAACCUUAGAGAUAAGGCGUUCCCUUCGGGGACGCAAUGACAGGUGGUGCAUGGUCGUCGUCAGCUCGUGUCGUGAGAUGUUGGGUUAAGUCCCGCAACGAGCGCAACCCUUGUUACUAGUUGCCAGCAUUAAGUUGGGCACUCUAGUGAGACUGCCGGUGACAAACCGGAGGAAGGUGGGGACGACGUCAGAUCAUCAUGCCCCUUAUGACCUGGGCUACACACGUGCUACAAUGGACGGUACAACGAGUCGCAAGCUCGCGAGAGUAAGCUAAUCUCUUAAAGCCGUUCUCAGUUCGGACUGUAGGCUGCAACUCGCCUACACGAAGUCGGAAUCGCUAGUAAUCGCGGAUCAGCAUGCCGCGGUGAAUACGUUCCCGGGCCUUGCACACACCGCCCGUCA